rnacentral:rRNA from 1 species
UACGUAGGGGGCAAGCGUUGUCCGGAAUCAUUGGGCGUAAAGCGCGCGUAGGCGGCCCGGUAAGUCCGUUGUGAAAGUCAAAGGCUCAACCUUUGAACGCCGAUGGAUACUGCCGGGCUAGAGUCCGGAAGAGGCGAGUGGAAUUCCUGGUGUAGCGGUGGAAUGCGCAGAUAUCAGGAGGAACACCAAUAGCGAAGGCAGCUCGCUGGGCCUUACCUGACGCUCAGGCGCGAAAGCUAGGGGAGCGAACUGG